CAAUCAUCUGAAAGGCUUCUGGUCCUCCAGGGAAUUCCGGUGGCAGCCCAAUCUCUGUUGAUUCAACCAAUCUUUUCUUGAAGUAUCCGCUCUUGGAAAAAAGGGGAUACUGAAACGCAACAGAAAAGCAAUCUCGAUGGUUGAAUGUCCUUCCGCCAACUUGAACACGUACAGAAACUGGUAAACCGGUUUCUUGGCUCCUGCGUUAAUUAAGAACAUUUUCCCACUCAGUGUCAGGAAUUCAAUGGAACGGUAAUUCAAGCUGAGAAAGACGAGCACAAGAAUGAAGUGAUUUUCUUCUUACCAUGAAAUUGUUCUAAUCUUUAGCAGGGCACUGAUGUUGGGUGAAGAGAAAGGACUUGAGGCUGCCGAACUAUCCUUGGGGCUUGCAGCUUCCAUUGGCAUAGCUCAUGAAAUGGCACAUAAAUGCACGAAAUCUGACUCAAGAAUCAAAGCGAGUAUUUUAUCAAAAAAAAAAAAAGAAUCAAAGUGAGUAGUAUAGUGAGAGCUUCUUGAACACAGGAAAGCAGCGGGAAUGAAA